rnacentral:rRNA from 1 species
UACGUAGGGGCUAGCGUUGUCCGGAAUCAUUGGGCGUAAAGCGCGCGUAGGCGGCCAGAUAAGUCCGGUGUGAAGUCAAAGGCUCAACCUUUGAAUGCCGCUGGAAACUGUUUGGCUCGAGUCCGGGAGGGGCGAGUGGAAUUCCUGGUGUAGCGGUGAAAGUGCGCAGAUAUCAGGAGGAACACCAAUGGCGAAGGCAGCUCGCUGGAACGGUACUGACGCUGGAGGCGACGAAAGCGUGGGGAGCAAACAGG